rnacentral:ncRNA from 1 species
GCGUAACAUUCGCCCGAUUUUUUAACGAGAAGGACACACACUUUGGACAGUCAUAGUCGAUACCGAAUAUCGCUUUAGUCUCCCGCCUUAUGCCAAUAUGGCUAUCGGCGAGAGUUCGU